rnacentral:lncRNA from 1 species
UAGGAGGGAGUUACUCUUAAGUGGGAAGUUAAGAAAAUAGGAAGUGAGAGUCAGAAACAGUUUUACGUGAAACCAAGCCAAGGAAGAGAAAACCAGGAGCAAGAGAGAAGAACCAGAGGAACCCUUUUUGCUGUGCAUUUUUCAUUCUGAACUAAGGUAAGGGUGGGGUUUACUUCAAUAGUGUAGAAAUUAAAGUCUGAUUUUGAGUUUAACAGGUUUUGGUAAAAAUUGGGGAUUUUGGGUUUUAUGAUGAAAUUGUAGUUUUUGAAGUUGUAAUCAUGAAUUUGAUGUUAGAAAUAGGUUCCAGUUGCAUACAGGAAGUUAAUUUACAUCUGUAAACUGAUUUGGGGAGUGAUUGG